AUCCCAGGCAGAGCGAGUGCAGAAAUGAUGUAACACAAACAUGCACACCACGCACACACACACACACACACGCACACACACACACCGCAUCGCACACACAGAGCCAUGCCCACACAGAAGCAAAGGACCGUGACUAAGUGGUCCUAGCCACCAGGCGACCUGGAGCCUUGUCCCAGCUCUGGAUAAACAGGAAGGAUGUGGCACAGGGACAUCUGUACCUGUCUGUGGCCAUCCUUGUAUUUAAAAGGUGUGGCUUUUCUUCACACCUCUGCAGUGGGCACUCUCCCUGUCCGCCCAUCUUCCCCGGAGAUCUCACCCUCACCAGUGUCACUCCCACUCAUGUUCUGAGGACUCUUCAGGAUGCUCCUGUCUCCAGCUUCAACACGGAGCAUCCGAUGGCCAACAGCCUCCCCUGUGUCCCCCGCAGCACCCUCCGAGGGCGUUGGUUAACUUGUGGACUUUAUCCUCUGGAGUGCGGGCUGCUUUUAGUGACUCACAGAAAAGGCAAUGGGACGCCACCUCCACGGCUGGUUAGAGGGGCUGGCUUCCUUCCCCCGACUGCCCUCUCUCACGCCCUCUCAUUUGCUCAGCUGCCCUGUUAUGAGAGGCUCCGUCAUGUUGGAACAUCGAUGUGAUGAGGACUAGAAGGAGGCCCCUGGCUGACAACUCGUGAGGACCGCCCCUGCCCACAACCUGGUGAUGAGCUUGGAGAGGUCCUCCCAGUCGGGUGAGACCACAGGCCCCGCCAGCACCUUGAUGAAGCUUCUCGAAGAUCCAGGGCCAGAGCACCCAGCUGAGCUGAACUGGACCCCUGACCCGGACACUGGGAGUUGAAGGGAAUGGGAGCAAUUGGAGACAGAUGUCGGCACCACUCAGGGGGCAAUGGCCCUUGCUCUCAGUCUGACCCAGUCCCAGUCUUUGUGGGCACAA